rnacentral:rRNA from 1 species
CGCGCUUAAUGCAUGCAAGUCGAGCGAUGAGGCCCUCUUCGGAGGGUACAUCAGCGGCAGACGGGUGAGUAACACGUAGGUGACCUGCCCUAAAGCUGGGGAUAACGGAUGGAAACAUACGCUAAUACCCAAUACACCUGUGAGGUCGCACUCAUAGGUAAAGCUCCGGCGCUUUAGAGAGGGGCCUGCGGUCCAUCAGCUAGUUGGAAGGGUAACGGCCUACCAAGGCGAAGACGGGUAGGGGGUGUGAGAGCACGACCCCCCACAAUGGGACUGAGACACGGCCCAUACUUCUACGGGAGGCAGCAGCAGGGAAUAUUGCACAAUGGACGCAAGUCUGAUGCAGCGACGCCGCGUGGAUGAUGAAGGCCCUCGAGUCGUAAAAUCCUUUUCAGGGGGACGAGGACGGACGGUACCCCUGGAAUAAGCGUCGGCUAACUACGUGCCAGCAGCCGCGGUAAGACGUAGGACGCAAGCGUUAUCCGGAUUUACUGGGCGUAAAGCGUCUGUAGGCGCGUUCGCUAAGUUGGGCGUGAAAGCUCCGGGCUUAACCCGGAGAGGUCGUUCAGUACUGUCGAACUAGAGGACAUCAGAGGAGCAUGGAAUUUCCGGGGUAGCGGUACAAAUGCGCAGAUAUCGGAAGGAACACCAGUGGCGAAGGCGGUGCUCUGGGGUG